UACGUAGGGUGCAAGCGUUGUCCGGAAUUAUUGGGCGUAAAGAGCUCGUAGGCGGUCUGUCGCGUCGGAUGUGAAAACUCGGGGCUCAACCCCGAGCCUGCAUUCGAUACGGGCAGACUAGAGUUCGGUAGGGGGAGACUGGAAUUCCUGGUGUAGCGGUGAAAUGCGCAGAUAUCAGGAGGAACACCGGUGGCGAAGGCGGGAUCUCUGGGCCAUUACUGACGCUGAGGAGCGAAAGCGUGGGGAGCGAACAG
rnacentral:rRNA from 1 species